ACUAAAUCCUUUCCCAGACCAUCUGCUGAGGAGUAGCUCACUUUUCCCAUCAACCCAGCCUUUGGCUCCAUCUAGGAUGGCUCUAGCCCCAAUCCAUCAAUUCUCUCCUUCCCCAAUCAGUUGAUUCCCUAUCCCUUCCCAACACAUACUGAGAUCGGUAAUUGCAACCCUUCACUUUCCUGUCAACCUGCUCCACAAGAACUCUGACCUCUAACUCAGGCUCAGUCUUACCAAACCUACCAUUCCAUCCUCUGCUGCAUCACAGCUCAGGUCUUUCCUUGCCACCCCCCUCCAGCUGUACAUACCUCCCAGCGGUACUCUGGAGAUGAAAUAAAAGCACUUUCUCUACUGCUUGAUGUAUUCAGUGUUUGCUCUGCCUUUGCAGGCAACAGAGAGCUGCAUAUGCAAAUUGUCCCUGGUCAGAGUUAGUACAGAGUCUUCAAGAUCUAACAGAGAUCUUAUGACCUUAUGGUCAUAGCACAGCUGCAUCCAAGUUUCCCUAGUGAUGGAGGGAAGCCAGGACCCAGAGGAGUUCCCUCAGAAGAAGAGGUUAAAUCAGCUACACCUGCAGCUCAAAGAGGGUUUCUCUAAGGUCUCAGGCUGUUGGUAAGAAGACUAUUCCUUCACUGCCUGCAGGAAUAUGCAAAAGGUUUCAAGGAUUGGAGGUUCUAAAGGGGCAGGCCAAUUACAGAAAUGAAGCAAAGCUUGUGCUCUCAUGCCGUUCUUUAGUGCCAGUAAUGUCUACAAAUACUACUGGAAAGUGGAUGUUAGUAUCAUUGGAACGAUAUUAACAGCAGCUUCCUGGACAGAGGCUUAUCAGAAAAGGGGUGUUAAACCAGAUCAGCAGCGGCUUGCCGAAAGUGACCCCAACCCCCCCCUGCACCGCCUCUCUUCAAGCAAACAUUAGCUGUCGGUACUCCAAACGGAGCCCCCCUGCCUGCCUCUCACUCAUUCAAAGUAAACAGUAGCUGUGUUUGUUUUUUUGAUAAGCAGCCCCCAGAAACAGAGCUUUGAAAGGGUACUUCCUCCUCCGGAGUUCACAACAAAACAAGAGAGGACGCUUCAGUUAAAAGGAUUAUGGGGAGUUUCCGGAGGUCAAUCAAGGCGUAAUAACAUUACUUCCCGUUUACACUGGAGCAGCAGCGUCUCAGCCAAUACGCAACCGCUUUUACUCCUCUCGGGAAGGUGGAGUACCAGCAGCGCUGUAGCCACGGAGACACAGCACUGUAUGUGCCUUGCCAGUGUGGACGGGGAGUGAGGUACAGCGCUCUGGGAGGCUUUAUUGUGCUGUAACUGGGAAGUGUAGCCAAGGCCUAAGUGUUCCAAGUUCCUCUGGUGAUUGGAAAUCACACUGAGAUUGAGUCCUGAUUCGGUGCAUGGUGAAAGGAACAAAAAGUGAAGCUGGAAUGUCCUAAACAGUCUAAGGUCCCCUCUACACACAAGUCAUGAAAGCUGGCUGCAAUAAAGGCUUAUCUAAACAUAGUUCUUCAGAAAGAGCUCUUUCUAUCUAGUUCUUCCUGAAUAACUCCACGUGUGGACACUUACUCUGGAAUAAAAGUGUCCACACACAGUUACUCAGGAACAGCUGAUUGAAAAAGCUUUCUGAAAAACUCCAUAUAUAGACAGGCUUAAAUGGCAUAAAGCUAUAAGUGUUCAGCAACCCCCAAAAACCUUGGUCCUGUCUAUACUAUAAAUUGUAACACCUUUAACAAAGGUCCUUCAAUGUAAGCUGAAACUAAGAAGUUGCAGCAUUAAGAGGAAAAGGGGGAACUCUGGAAACAGUCUGCAGUGUCUGUACAGCCAUUUAGGGAUGCUUCCAGGGUAACAGAAGCAUUUGAGAAAAGUUAAUAAGAGGCCUUGUAAACUUAACUGUUGCCAAGAAUUAUUUGAUAGAUAUGUUCUUGUCACCCUAAAGACAGCAAAUUCCAAAUUCAGCUUCUGGAUCUCAGGAACUGGCCUUGACAAGUUUCUCACCUAGCCUUUCACCACCCCUACCUCCACUGAGGUGAAACACAAGCCAUUCAAAUGUAACAAACUAUCAAAUUAAAUUAUGGACUCUUAAGUAGGGGGUGGAGAUGGGGAAACAAAACAAUGUAAACAGCAAAAACAUUAGCUUUCCAAAUCAAACUUACCCGUUAUAUAGCAGAUUGGGGUGGUUGUCCACUAAAUAUUUAGUAAAAUGGCCAAGUUGUCCCAGAUUCUCAUAGGGUAUUGUUGAAGGUAAAAAGACUGUCCACUAAGAGAAAUAUACACUUUAGUAAUCCCCAAAUUCUUACUUUAAGGAGAAAACAUUAAGCUUGAGCCUUUAAAUUUGAGUCCUCACAUCCCUCCUCAAAUUUGCUUGCUAUUAAACUAGACUCUUAUACAUGCUGAUUUCACAUAUGUGCUACUUUCUCAUCUUUGCCCAUUUCUCCCCCCAUCCUUAACAGGCAGGUUACUAGCCCUCUAAGCUUACUGCAACAUAAGAGGUGCUUGCAGGCUGGGGGAUCCAAGCAAAACAGACUUCUGACUGCAUUUCUUGUGCUAGUUAUACCAGAUGUAGGGGCAUAGGAAAUGAAAGGGAUGAAUCAUUAACAGCCAGGAACUAUGCAUGAUGUUUGACAGGCAAGAUAAAUUGUCUGUGGUAUGAACAAUUCAAAAUCUAACUUGCCAAUAAAUGCUGAUUAGACACUGAGGGUGUGGGAGAAGGGAGGAAAAGCAUAAUAGCUUUGGUUGGUAACCAGUAUGUCAGCACUUGCACAAUGCUUGAGUCGUGCAUGUGCAAUACUUCACCCACCUCAGAAAUGUUUUGAGGAGGAACUGGAAGGUAGGGACAUGGGGUCAGAAUAGAAGGGAACAGAGAGCAACCAGGUGGGGGGAAAGACUGGUGAAGGGUGAGGGUAGUGUUGUGUAUUUGGUUGUCAUGGGUUUUGUUACUAUGGCAACUGAGUUAGACUAUUAAGGGAUAGCUCAUCCGGUUUCAACCGGCUGAGUGAGCUCUCU